rnacentral:rRNA from 1 species
UACGGAAGGCAGCAGUGGGGAAUAUUGCACAAUGGGCGCAAGCCUGAUGCAGCCAUGCCGCGUGUAUGAAGAAGGCCUUCGGGUUGUAAAGUACUUUCAGUCGUGAGGAAGGUGUUAAGGUUAAUAACCUUAGCAAUUGACGUUAGCGACAGAAGAAGCACCGGCUAACUCCGUGCCAGCAGCCGCGGUAAUACGGAGGGUGCGAGCGUUAAUCGGAAUUACUGGGCGUAAAGGGCACGCAGGCGGUUAAUUAAGUUGGAUGUGAAAUCCCCGGGCUUAACCUGGGAAUGGCAUUCAAGACUGGUUAGCUAGAGUCUUGUAGAGGGGGUAGAAUUCCGAUGUGUAGCGGUGAAAUGCGUAGAGAUGUGGAGGAAUACCGGUGGCGAAGGCGGCCCCUGGCAAAGACUGACGCUCAUGUGCGAAAGCGUGGGGAGCAAACAGGGAUUAGAUACC